rnacentral:rRNA from 1 species
UGCAAGUAGAACGCUGAAGAGAGGAGCUUGCUCUUCUUGGAUGAGUUGCGAACGGGUGAGUAACGCGUAGGUAACCUGCCUUGUAGCGGGGGAUAACUAUUGGAAACGAUAGCUAAUACCGCAUAACAAUGGAUGACACAUGUCAUUUAUUUGAAAGGGGCAAUUGCUCCACUACAAGAUGGACCUGCGUUGUAUUAGCUAGUAGGUGAGGUAACGGCUCACCUAGGCGACGAUACAUAGCCGACCUGAGAGGGUGAUCGGCCACACUGGGACUGAGACACGGCCCAGACUCCUACGGGAGGCAGCAGUAGGGAAUCUUCGGCAAUGGGGGCAACCCUGACCGAGCAACGCCGCGUGAGUGAAGAAGGUUUUCGGAUCGUAAAGCUCUGUUGUAAGUCAAGAACGAGUGUGAGAGUGGAAAGUUCACACUGUGACGGUAGCUUACCAGAAAGGGACGGCUAACUACGUGCCAGCAGCCGCGGUAAUACGUAGGUCCCGAGCGUUGUCCGGAUUUAUUGGGCGUAAAGCGAGCGCAGGCGGUUUGAUAAGUCUGAAGUUAAAGGCUGUGGCUCAACCAUAGUUCGCUUUGGAAACUGUCAAACUUGAGUGCAGAAGGGGAGAGUGGAAUUCCAUGUGUAGCGGUGAAAUGCGUAGAUAUAUGGAGGAACACCGGUGGCGAAAGCGGCUCUCUGGUCUGUAACUGACGCUGAGGCUCGAAAGCGUGGGGAGCGAACAGGAUUAGAUACCCUGGUAGUCCACGCCGUAAACGAUGAGUGCUAGGUGUUGGAUCCUUUCCGGGAUUCAGUGCCGCAGCUAACGCAUUAAGCACUCCGCCUGGGGAGUACGACCGCAAGGUUGAAACUCAAAGGAAUUGACGGGGGCCCGCACAAGCGGUGGAGCAUGUGGUUUAAUUCGAAGCAACGCGAAGAACCUUACCAGGUCUUGACAUCCCGAUGCUAUUUCUAGAGAUAGAAAGUUACUUCGGUACAUCGGUGACAGGUGGUGCAUGGUUGUCGUCAGCUCGUGUCGUGAGAUGUUGGGUUAAGUCCCGCAACGAGCGCAACCCCUAUUGUUAGUUGCCAUCAUUCAGUUGGGCACUCUAGCGAGACUGCCGGUAAUAAACCGGAGGAAGGUGGGGAUGACGUCAAAUCAUCAUGCCCCUUAUGACCUGGGCUACACACGUGCUACAAUGGUUGGUACAACGAGUUGCGAGUCGGUGACGGCAAGCUAAUCUCUUAAAGCCAAUCUCAGUUCGGAUUGUAGGCUGCAACUCGCCUACAUGAAGUCGGAAUCGCUAGUAAUCGCGGAUCAGCACGCCGCGGUGAAUACGUUCCCGGGCCUUGUACACACCGCCCGUCACACCACGAGAGUUUGUAACACCCGAAGUCGGUGAGGUAACCUU